GGUUAAGCGACUAAGCGUACACGGUGGAUGCCCUGGCAGUCAGAGGCGAUGAAGGACGUGCUAAUCUGCGAAAAGCGUCGGUAAGGUGAUAUGAACCGUUAUAACCGGCGAUGUCCGAAUGGGGAAACCCAGUGCAAUUCGUUGCACUAUCGUUAACUGAAUACAUAGGUUAACGAGGCGAACCGGGGGAACUGAAACAUCUAAGUACCCCGAGGAAAAGAAAUCAACCGAGAUUCCCCCAGUAGCGGCGAGCGAACGGGGAGCAGCCCAGAGUCUGAAUCAGCUUGUGUGUUAGUGGAACGGUCUGGAAAGUCCGACGGUACAGGGUGAUAGUCCCGUACACCAAAAUGCACAGGCUGUGAACUCGAAGAGUAGGGCGGGACACGUGGUAUCCUGUCUGAAUAUGGGGGGACCAUCCUCCAAGGCUAAAUACUCCUGACUGACCGAUAGUGAACCAGUACCGUGAGGGAAAGGCGAAAAGAACCCCGGCGAGGGGAGUGAAAAAGAACCUGAAACCGUGUACGUACAAGCAGUGGGAGCACCUUCGGGUGUGACUGCGUACCUUUUGUAUAAUGGGUCAGCGACUUAUAUUCUGUAGCAAGGUUAACCGUAUAGGGGAGCCGCAGGGAAACCGAGUCUUAACUGGGCGUUAAGUUGCAGGGUAUAGACCCGAAACCCGGUGAUCUAGCCAUGGGCAGGUUGAAGGUUGGGUAACACUAACUGGAGGACCGAACCGACUAAUGUUGAAAAAUUAGCGGAUGACUUGUGGCUGGGGGUGAAAGGCCAAUCAAACCGGGAGAUAGCUGGUUCUCCCCGAAAGCUAUUUAGGUAGCGCCUCGUGAAUUCAUCUUCGGGGGUAGAGCACUGUUUCGGCUAGGGGGUCAUCCCGACUUACCAACCCGAUGCAAACUACGAAUACCGAAGAAUGUUAUCACGGGAGACACACGGCGGGUGCUAACGUCCGUCGUGAAGAGGGAAACAACCCAGACCGCCAGCUAAGGUCCCAAAGUCAUGGUUAAGUGGGAAACGAUGUGGGAAGGCACAGACAGCCAGGAUGUUGGCUUAGAAGCAGCCAUCAUUUAAAGAAAGCGUAAUAGCUCACUGGUCGAGUCGGCCUGCGCGGAAGAUGUAACGGGGCUAAACCAUGCACCGAAGCUGCGGCAGCGACACUAUGUGUUGUUGGGUAGGGGAGCGUUCUGUAAGCCUGCGAAGGUGUGCUGUGAGGCAUGCUGGAGGUAUCAGAAGUGCGAAUGCUGACAUAAGUAACGAUAAAGCGGGUGAAAAGCCCGCUCGCCGGAAGACCAAGGGUUCCUGUCCAACGUUAAUCGGGGCAGGGUGAGUCGACCCCUAAGGCGAGGCCGAAAGGCGUAGUCGAUGGGAAACAGGUUAAUAUUCCUGUACUUGGUGUUACUGCGAAGGGGGGACGGAGAAGGCUAUGUUAGCCGGGCGACGGUUGUCCCGGUUUAAGCAUGUAGGCUGGUUGUCCAGGCAAAUCCGGAUAAUCAAGGCUGAGGUGUGAUGACGAGGCACUACGGUGCUGAAGUAACAAAUGCCCUGCUUCCAGGAAAAGCCUCUAAGCAUCAGGUAACAUUAAAUCGUACCCCAAACCGACACAGGUGGUCAGGUAGAGAAUACCAAGGCGCUUGAGAGAACUCGGGUGAAGGAACUAGGCAAAAUGGUGCCGUAACUUCGGGAGAAGGCACGCUGGUGUGUAGGUGAAGUCCCUGCGGAUGGAGCUGAGACCAGUCGAAGAUACCAGCUGGCUGCAACUGUUUAUUAAAAACACAGCACUGUGCAAACACGAAAGUGGACGUAUACGGUGUGACGCCUGCCCGGUGCCGGAAGGUUAAUUGAUGGGGUUAUCCGUAAGGAGAAGCUCUUGAUCGAAGCCCCGGUAAACGGCGGCCGUAACUAUAACGGUCCUAAGGUAGCGAAAUUCCUUGUCGGGUAAGUUCCGACCUGCACGAAUGGCGUAAUGAUGGCCAGGCUGUCUCCACCCGAGACUCAGUGAAAUUGAACUCGCUGUGAAGAUGCAGUGUACCCGCGGCAAGACGGAAAGACCCCGUGAACCUUUACUAUAGCUUGACACUGAACAUUGAGCCUUGAUGUGUAGGAUAGGUGGGAGGCUUUGAAGCGUGGACGCCAGUCUGCGUGGAGCCAACCUUGAAAUACCACCCUUUAAUGUUUGAUGUUCUAACGUUGGCCCCUUACCGGGGUUGCGGACAGUGUCUGGUGGGUAGUUUGACUGGGGCGGUCUCCUCCCAAAGCGUAACGGAGGAGCACGAAGGUUAGCUAAUCCUGGUCGGACAUCAGGAGGUUAGUGCAAUGGCAUAAGCUAGCUUGACUGCGAGCGUGACGGCGCGAGCAGGUGCGAAAGCAGGUCAUAGUGAUCCGGUGGUUCUGAAUGGAAGGGCCAUCGCUCAACGGAUAAAAGGUACUCCGGGGAUAACAGGCUGAUACCGCCCAAGAGUUCAUAUCGACGGCGGUGUUUGGCACCUCGAUGUCGGCUCAUCACAUCCUGGGGCUGAAGUAGGUCCCAAGGGUAUGGCUGUUCGCCAUUUAAAGUGGUACGCGAGCUGGGUUUAGAACGUCGUGAGACAGUUCGGUCCCUAUCUGCCGUGGGCGCUGGAGAAUUGAGGGGGGCUGCUCCUAGUACGAGAGGACCGGAGUGGACGCAUCACUGGUGUUCGGGUUGUCAUGCCAAUGGCACUGCCCGGUAGCUAAAUGCGGAAGAGAUAAGUGCUGAAAGCAUCUAAGCACGAAACUUGCCCCGAGAUGAGUUCUCCCUGAGACUUUAAGUCUCCUGAAGGAACGUUAAAGACGAUGACGUUGAUAGGCCGGGUGUGUAAGCGCAGCGAUGCGUUGAGCUAACCGGUACUAAUGAACCGUGAGGCUUAACCUU
rnacentral:rRNA from 1 species